rnacentral:rRNA from 1 species
CCUACGGGGGGCAGCAGUGGGGAAUAUUGGACAAUGGGGGGAACCCUGAUCCAGCCAUGCCGCGCGUGUGAAGAAGGCCCUCGGGUUGUAAAGCACUUUCAGUGAGGAAGAACGCCUGGUGGUUAAUACCCAUCAGGAAAGACAUCACUCACAGAAGAAGCACCGGCUAACUCCGUGCCAGCAGCCGCGGUAAUACGGAGGGUGCGAGCGUUAAUCGGAAUUACUGGGCGUAAAGCGCGCGUAGGUGGCUUGAUAAGCCGGUUGUGAAAGCCCCGGGCUCAACCUGGGAACGGCAUCCGGAACUGUCAAGCUAGAGUGCAGGAGAGGAAGGUAGAAUUCCCGGUGUAGCGGUGAAAUGCGUAGAGAUCGGGAGGAAUACCAGUGGCGAAGGCGGCCUUCUGGACUGACACUGACACUGAGGUGCGAAAGCGUGGGUAGCAAACAGGAUUAGAUACCCCGGUAGUC